rnacentral:rRNA from 1 species
AGCGAACGCUGGCGGCAGGCUUAACACAUGCAAGUCGAACGGGCAUCUUCGGAUGUCAGUGGCAGACGGGUGAGUAACACGUGGGAACGUACCCUUCGGUUCGGAAUAACUCAGGGAAACUUGAGCUAAUACCGGAUACGCCCUUUUGGGGAAAGGUUUACUGCCGAAGGAUCGGCCCGCGUCUGAUUAGCUUGUUGGUGGGGUAACGGCCUACCAAGGCGACGAUCAGUAGCUGGUCUGAGAGGAUGAUCAGCCACACUGGGACUGAGACACGGCCCAGACCCCUCCGGGGGGAGGGGGGGGGGAAUUUGGGAGAGGGGGCGCAGCCCUUACACACCCGUCCCGGGUGAGUGAGGAGGCCUUUGGGGUUGAAAAGCUUUUUUGCCGGGGAGGAAAAUGGGGCCCCCGAAAAAAAAGCCCCCGCCUACUUUCGUC